rnacentral:tRNA from 1 species
GCCAAUGUGGUGUAAUGGUUUGAAUGUUGGACUAGGACUCUAGAGACCAGGGUUCAAAUCCUUGCUGAGCA